AGAACGAACGCUGGCGGCAUGCUUAACACAUGCAAGUCGAACGGUGAAGCCCUUCGGGGUGGAUCAGUGGCGAACGGGUGAGUAACACGUGGGCAAUCUGCCCUGCAUUCUGGGACAAGCCUUGGAAACGAGGUCUAAUACCGGAUACGACGCAUCUCCGCAUGGAGUGUGCGUGGAAAGCUCCGGCGAUGCAGGAUGAGCCCGCGGCCUAUCAGCUUGUUUGUGGGGUAAUGGCCUACCAAGGCGACGACGGGUA
rnacentral:rRNA from 1 species